rnacentral:rRNA from 1 species
UUUUUAAUUGAGAUCUUGUAUGAAUGAUUGGACAAGAGAAAUACUGUCUUUAUAUUAAAAAUUGAAUUUAACUUUUAAGUGAAAAGGCUUAAAUAUACUAGAGGGACGAUAAGACCCUAUAAAACUUUACAUUGAUAUUAGAUUUUAUAGAAUUUAAAAUUAUAAUAAUUAAAUUUAAUUUUUUUGUUAUGUUGGGGAGACAAAAGCUAUAAUUAUGUAUAACUGCUUUAAAAGAAAACAAUAAUAAGUGGAAGUAAAAUUAUAGAUCCUUUAUAAAGAUUACGAGAUUAAGUUACUUUAGGGAUAACAGCGUUAUUUUUUUUGAGAGUUCAUAUCGAAAAAAGAGAUUGCGACCUCGAUGUUGAAUUAAAAUAUCUUUAUAAUGCAGGUGUUAUAGAAGAAGGUCUGUUCGACCUUUAAUUUU